UGCCUUUUCAUUUCGUAUCACUAACUCGGAGCAAAACUUUUUUCUUUGCCUGUUAAACGCAGCGUGGAAGUUUAUUUUAACUGUCGGCCCGUUUGGAGCUGUCCAUCUACCUGACUGUAACCUUCGCCCUGUUUAUGCCCACUCCGAACGGAAUACUCCCUUGUCGCCUCUCCGUGCCAUACGAUGUGAUCUUUUUGCGCAUUCAUCGACAAAGGAAUGCAUAAAAUUCUCUCAGCAUCUCUCUCUGUGAAGUGCUCGAAAGCUCGCGAAGGUUGGAUAUUAUCGAAGCAUUGUCACACUAUCAACUAGUUAUUUUGGGUGUAUAUAUGGCUAAAUUAUUUUGUUAUAAUGGCAUGUAUAGGACAACUUGACAAUUAGUGGCAUGAAAAUGAUGUUUUGUAGCCUAGCCAUUGGAAUGACUAGUAAUGGCUUAUUUUGGUAUAAUUAAGUAGGUUAUUAUGAUAUAUUCAUAUGUGAUAUGUUAAGUAUAUGCAAUCAAAUGAUGUUAAUGCCUAAGCUAAUCCAAGGUAAGUUUAUAAACA